AACGUAGGGGGCGAGCGUUGCACGGAUUUACUGGGCGUAAAACGCGCGUAGGCGGCUGCGUAAGUGGGGAGUUAAAGCCCUCGGCUCAACCGAGGACAUGAUCAUCAAACUGCGCGGCUUGAGUGUAGGAGAGGGGAGUGGAAUUGCCGGUGUAGCGGUGAAAUGCGUUGAUAUCGGGAGGAACACCGGUGGCGAAGGCGGCUCCCUGGCCUACCACUGACGCUGAGGCGCGAAAGCGUGGGGAGCGAACGGG
rnacentral:rRNA from 1 species